GAUGAACGCUAGCUACAGGCUUAACACAUGCAAGUCGAGGGGCAGCAUGAUUGAAGCUUGCUUCAAUCGAUGGCGACCGGCGCACGGGUGAGUAACACGUAUCCAACCUGCCGAUAACUCGGGGAUAGCCUUUCGAAAGAAAGAUUAAUACCCGAUAGUAUAGUAUUUCCGCAUGGUUUCACUAUUAAAGAACUUCGGUUAUCGAUGGGGAUGCGUUCCAUUAGAUAGUUGGCGGGGUAACGGCCCACCAAGUCAACGAUGGAUAGGGGUUCUGAGAGGAAGGUCCCCCACAUUGGAACUGAGACACGGUCCAAACUCCUACGGGACGCAGCAGUGAGGAAUAUUGGUCAAUGGACGAGAGUCUGAACCAGCCAAGUAGCGUGAAGGAUGACUGCCCUAUGGGUUGUAAACUUCUUUUAUACGGGAAUAAAGUGGAGUAUGCAUACUCCUUUGUAUGUACCGUAUGAAUAAGGAUCGGCUAACUCCGUG
rnacentral:rRNA from 1 species